GGGAAGGCUGCCUCCAUGUCUGCAUUUGGACAUAAUGGAGGCAGCAGCAAGCCAGAGGCCCGAGCAGUGAACCUCACUUCAAACUGAAGGUUCAAAUUGGAGUUUGCAACAGGUAGAGGGAAGAAGCACUGCACUUUCCUCACAGGAGUUCUGGCUAGCAGAGACUUUGAAAACUGAAAGCAGGACUGUAACUGAAAUCUGAACACAACAGCUUCACAAUGCCUGUUUUCUACACUGGCCAGAGCUCCAAAUAGGAAGAAAUAAUGAAGAAAGAACAACCCCACACCAAAAUGAGAUGGGUUAUUACUGAGGAUGGGUUGCAAAUUAUUAGUAGCAUAUGGGUGUGACCAUGCUCUUCAGUUUCACAAACUGGCCCUCUUUUUUGAUUUCAAGGUUUAUUUAUUUUAUUUAAAUACAUUUAUAUACCACUGUUAACAAAAAGUCUCAAGGCUGUUCACAGUCAAACGAAACAGUCAAAAGGUUUAAAACAGUUUUUUAAAGGGGUUUGGCAUCCUUUAAUGAUAUUCUGGCAGUUAAUGGUGGGUAAUAGGCUGAUUAAUGGGAUUUAACAGCUGGUGACUAUUCCAAGCCACUGGAAUCUCUGUCACACCCUACUGCCAGGGUGUAGGCAAAAAAUGGUGUGGCAAGAAAGAAAUAGCAUUACAUUUGGAAUGCACAGAAGAAAGGAAAUAUAGCCUGUGCUUAGAGCUUGUUGGCAAAGGUUGCUAUAAUGGUAUUUUGAUGCCUGAGGAAGAAAAUCCACAUGGUUA